UACGUAGGGUGCAAGCGUUGUCCGGAAUUAUUGGGCGUAAAGAGCUCGUAGGCGGCUUGCCGCGUCGGCUGUGAAAACCGGGGGCUUAACCCUCGGCGUGCGGGCGAUACGGGCAGACUUGAGUACUGCAGGGGAGACUGGAAUUCCUGGUGUAGCGGUGGAAUGCGCAGAUAUCGAGAGGAACACCUGCGGCGAAGGCGGGUUGCUGGGCUGACACUGACGCUGAUGUGCGAAAGCUAGGGGAGCGAACGGG
rnacentral:rRNA from 1 species